ensembl:lncRNA
AUCUCCGAGAGCCCCGCCCGCCUGCUUCCUCCCGAAGAGGCUUCGUGCGCAGACGGAUGGGCGCGGACUCGGGCUCCCGUCUCGGUCGGGUAGGGCGGUUACAUCCCGUCUGUGCACGGUCCCGGGACGAGGGCCGAGUCGGGGAGGCGAGGUCGUCCGGCUCUCAGAGAGGUCCCUAGAUCCGCAAGGCCUAGCGGGAGUUGAGACUCGGCGGGAACCGACCCUCCCAAGAUCCCGUCUGCGCAGACAGCGGUGGGCUUCACGAAGUAAGCUCCGUAUAUAAAGGCUGGAUGGAGCCUUUCAAUUCAGUCAGUCAAGAGAGGGAAACCGAGACGAAGCCGCCGCGGCCCCCGUCACGGCCGAUCGGACGCGGCCUCAAACCGGAACUGACGAGGAGAAGGAAGACGGACGUUACAGCGGGCAGAAAACACGUCGGUGUCCAUUAACGGCCAGCGGCAACGGUAUAGACAGCGGGUGAUAUGGAUGACCUACGGUGCACGCCACGCCCACAGACAGUGCGGGCCACACCCACCCUCCCUAGGCCACGCCCACCCUCCCUAGUCCGCCGCAACGGUUUGUACAGGGGAUGGCGCUGAAGACGGACAGUGCACGCCACGCCCACAGACAGUACGGGCCACGCCCACCCGCUCCAUGCUGAACCGGGACAGCGCGGGUUCUGCUUCUGCCAGAGGAGAAUUUAUUUUAUUUUUUAAUUCUUUAUUUAUUUUUAUUUUAUUUUAUUUUCUACUUAUUUAUUAUUUAUUUUAUUUUAUUUUAUUUUCCUACUUAUUUUAUUUUAUUUAUAUUUGGUAUAGUUUAUUUUUUAUAUAUUUUUUAUUAUUUUUUAUUUUAUUCAUAUUCAUUUU